rnacentral:rRNA from 1 species
GUGGAUUAGAUACCCUGGUAGUCCACGCCGUAAACGAUGGAUACUAGCUGUUCGGAGCAAUCUGAGUGGCUAAGCGAAAGUGAUAAGUAUCCCACCUGGGGAGUACGCACGCAAGUGUGAAACUCAAAGGAAUUGACGGGGGCCCGCACAAGCGGAGGAGCAUGUGGUUUAAUUCGAUGAUACGCGAGGAACCUUACCAGGGCUUAAAUGGGAGACGACAGUUUGGGAAACCAGAUUUUCUUCGGACGUCUUUCAAGGUGCUGCAUGGUUGUCGUCAACU